CACGUAGGGGCCAAGCGUUGUCCGGAUUUACUGGGCGUAAAGGGCGCGUAGGCGGUCGUGACAAGUCACUUGUGAAAUCUCCGGGCUUAACUCGGAACGGUCAAGUGAUACUGUCGGACUAGAGUACAGAAGGGGCAACUGGAAUUCUCGGUGUAGCGGUGAAAUGCGUAGAUAUCGAGAGGAACACCUGCGGCGAAGGCGGGUUGCUGGGCUGAUACUGACGCUGAGGCGCGGAAAGCCAGGGGAGCGAACGGG
rnacentral:rRNA from 1 species